rnacentral:antisense_RNA from 1 species
UGUUUUGUAUAAGGAUUCGACACCCAUAUCAAAACCGGUAACUCUCAACCUUUCAAGGUCAUGUGUCAGAUCAAGUCGCGACUAAUACAGGAGAAUAAAUCCAGACAAAGCCAUAACUUGGUGCGUCCGAGUGGACUCGAACCACCGACCCCCACCA